GACAGAGGGGGCAAGCGUUGCUCGGAAUCACUGGGCGUAAAGGGCGCGUAGGCGGGAUGGCAAGUCAGUCGUGAAAUCGCCGGGCUCAACCCGGCGGCGUCGGCCGAAACUGGGUUUCUUGAGGGAGGCAGAGGAGUCUGGAAUUCCCGGUGUAGCGGUGAAAUGUGUAGAGAUCGGGAGGAACACCGGUGGCGAAGGCGGGACUCUGGGCCUACCCUGACGCUGAGGCGCGAAGGCGUGGGGAGCAAACGGG
rnacentral:rRNA from 1 species